rnacentral:miRNA from 1 species
CGGACAGCUGACACUUGCAGUUCCUUGAAAAGCUAUAAAAGGUCAGGGGAAACUAAGACCACGAUCCUGCUCUGCAGUCACAGUGAAUUGUGUC